rnacentral:rRNA from 1 species
UACGUAGGGGGCAAGCGUUGUCCGGAAUCAUUGGGCGUAAAGCGCGCGUAGGCGGCUAGAUCAGUCUGCUGUAAAAGUCAAAGGCUCAACCUUUGAAAGCCGGUGGAUACUGUCUAGCUAGAGUCCGGAAGAGGCGAGUGGAAUUCCUGGUGUAGCGGUGGAAUGCGCAGAUAUCAGGAGGAAUACCGAUGGCGAAGGCAGGUCUCUGGGCUAUAACUGACGCUCAUGCACGAAAGCGUGGGGAGCAAACAGG